UACGUAGGGUGCGAGCGUUAAUCGGAAUUACUGGGCGUAGAGCGUGCGCAGGCGGUUUUGUAAGCCAGAUGUGAAAUCCCCGGGCUUAACCUGGGAAUGGCAUUUGGGACUGCAAGGCUCGAGUGCGGCAGAGGAGACUGGAAUUCCUGGUGUAGCAGUGAAAUGCGUAGAUAUCAGGAGGAACACCGAUGGCGAAGGCAGGUCUCUGGGCUGACACUGACGCUCAUGCACGAAAGCGUGGGGAGCAAACAGG
rnacentral:rRNA from 1 species